GAUGAACGCUAGCGGCAGGCCUAAUACAUGCAAGACGAACGGUAAGUUGAGUAGCAAUACUUAGCCAAGAGUGUCGUACGGGUGCGUAACACGUAUGCAACCUACCCUAUACAGGAGGAUAGCCUAGGGAAACCUGGAUUAACCCUUCAUAGUAUUAUUGGAUGGCAUCAUUUGAUAAUUAAAACUGAGGUGGUAUAGGAUGGGCAUGCGUCUGAUUAGUUAGUUGGCGGGGUAAUGGCCCACCAAGACGAUGAUCAGUAGGGGUUCUGAGAGGAAGAUCCCCCACACUGGCACUGAGAUACGGGCCAGACUCCUACGGGAGGCAGCAGUGGGGAAUAUUGCGCAAUGGGCGAAAGCCUGACGCAGCGACGCCGCGUGGGUGAUGAAGGCCUGGUCGUAA
rnacentral:rRNA from 1 species